UAGUGCCAGAAAAAAGAAACGUUUACAAUAACAUGAAAACAAUGUCCGCUCUGGCUCGUUGACACUUAAUUGAAAGAACUAACAAGAAAAGGCUUUGAUACUCACGUAAUAUUCUCUCCUCCAAAUUUGUAUCUAGUCUUCACCAAAAAGCCACCACCGCAGCAUCACAACAGACGAAAUACCCAAGGUGAUAAAAAUGAGCGGAAGGCAGCAUGACGUUCGCUGUUGUGUCUCUCGUCUGUCAGUGAUUCCAGAUUGUUGACGAAAUAUCGUCUUCUGCUACCUCUAGGUGUCAAUGACCAUUGAUAAUUGGAGAGCAGCAUAGGAAUGUGACAGUUUGUCUGGGCUAAAUGCCCUACUAUAGAAUAGAAUCCUCUUCGGAAACUUUGUCUGCUCCUAAAUUACAUGUUACACAUCAUAAGUUAAAGUUACUUCAAAAAAUCAAAACAAAUAUUUAGAUUAGGAUUUUGAGCUAAGUUAAACCGUUUUUAAUUCAUAACAUUUACCAUAUCAUUAAGCUAAUGGUUCUUAUUGCAUUCUUGACUUCAUGUUUUCAAAAAUUUCAGCUGAUGUUUUUGUGUGAGCUAGGUGCUUGUGACAAUAUAGAGAUCAAAUAUGGUCCAAUCCAAUAAUGUUAAGUUCCAGUGUUAAGUCAUAGUAAAUCUUCAAGAUAUUGAAGACAUCCCCAGAUCCAAUUCUCUGCUGCUAUCAUACCCAUACUUUCUGGAAAGCUGCUGGAGUAAUCCAUCCCCAAUUGAUUCAUUUCGUGCCAGCUUGUGAAAGGCGUGAGGAAUUGCAAAUUUAGCUGCUGCGUGCUGUCUGCAAGGAAGCAAUCCAAUUGGCUGUCGCUAGGUGGCGCGAGCGUCUUCGGCCAUUUUGUUCCUUGACGAAUGAGAAGUGGGAUGCUGCAUGCUGGUCGUGACGUUUCCCAAAAUUCCCAUGGUGAAAAUGUAAAGGUGAUUUCAAUACCACUUUGUCAAACCAGAAUCUAACUCGGAAGCCUGUCCAUUUUGCUGAAAUGUCGUGCCUCGUGUGUCUUGCUGCCUGCACCCAGUCGUAUGUCUCGUGCCAUGCAAAAGCAAAAGUCCGCUGUUGGUUACCUUGUUGCAGCCAGGUGGUGAAAGAUGUGAUGGAGACUAAUUGAACUGUUGUAUGCAGCGUGUGGUUCCAGUGUUAUCCAGAAGUAGCUGUGCUGGCGGUAUCCUGAACUAGCCUGAAGUUGCCAGUGAUAUCCGGGUCGCUGACUUUAAAUAUUUUUCUGUUUGCAUUUUGUGUAUUUGCCCUGCCAAUGUUAUCCUGUGUUUGAAAUCUGUUCUCUUUCGUGUUUUUUUUUGCUCUACCAGUGAUUUCCUGUGUUGCAGUCUUGAAAUGGUUUCACUGUCGUCUUUGGCGUUUUUAUUGUGCAGUAUACGAUUGAGGCAACCUGAUCUAUGUCAGGUUUGACACAGUCGACAACUGCUAGAUUAAAUUCCGGCUUUCUGCACCAACAAAAUAAUAACGGCACAUGUUAUUAUCGCGGUUGGGAAAGUCACAGGCCCCCCCCUCCCUGGGGGCCAUAAAAUUUACAUGUGGUUAUGUUUGUAAAAAAUAAAAAAAUAAAAUACAUAUUAAAAGAAU
rnacentral:lncRNA from 1 species